rnacentral:rRNA from 1 species
GAGUGGCGAACGGGUGAGUAACACGUGGGUAACCUGCCCAUCAGAAGGGGAUAACACUUGGAAACAGGUGCUAAUACCGUAUAACAAUCAAAACCGCAUGGUUUUGAUUUGAAAGGCGCUUUCGGGUGUCGCUGAUGGAUGGACCCGCGGUGCAUUAGCUAGUUGGUGAGGUAACGGCUCACCAAGGCCACGAUGCAUAGCCGACCUGAGAGGGUGAUCGGCCACAUUGGGACUGAGACACGGCCCAAACUCCUACGGGAGGCAGCAGUAGGGAAUCUUCGGCAAUGGACGAAAGUCUGACCGAGCAACGCCGCGUGAGUGAAGAAGGUUUUCGGAUCGUAAAACUCUGUUGUUAGAGAAGAACAAGGAUGAGAGUAACUGUUCAUCCCUUGACGGUAUCUAACCAGAAAGCCACGGCUAACUACGUGCCAGCAGCCGCGGUAAUACGUAGGUGGCAAGCGUUGUCCGGAUUUAUUGGGCGUAAAGCGAGCGCAGGCGGUUUCUUAAGUCUGAUGUGAAAGCCCCCGGCUCAACC